CGUCGACCGGCGCACGGGUGAGUAACGCGUAUCCAACCUUCCCAUUACUGUGGGAUAACCUGCCGAAAGGCAGACUAAUACCGCAUAGUCUUCGAUGACGGCAUCAGAUUUGAAGUAAAGAUUUAUCGGUAAUGGAUGGGGAUGCGUCUGAUUAGCUUGUUGGCGGGGUAACGGCCCACCAAGGCGACGAUCAGUAGGGGUUCUGAGAGGAAGGUCCCCCACAUUGGAACUGAGACACGGUCCAAACUCCUACGGGAGGCAGCAGCC
rnacentral:rRNA from 1 species